AGCUUUUAGCCAUGCUUGUUAGAAUUUAAUCGAUAAAUCAAUCAUGUCGCUGUAAAAUGUAGAAAGCCGAGAACUAGAAGGGUCUAACAGCCAUGAUGUUAGUUAAAUAAUAGAAUUUUAGCUUCUCUCUCUAUCUGUGUAUACAAAUGAUACUCUCUUUUUGUGGUUGCUUUUUUGUGCUUACUUUACAAGAGAAGGGAAAGCCAAGCAAGAAGAAGGGUGUAUUUGAACAAAAGUUUAAUUAUUCUUUUUAGCCAAAACACUUUUAAGUUUUAACUCUUAUUUUGAAGCAAAAGAAAAAACACACAAUAAAGAGAGAAAUAUAUUGUAGUGAUUUUUUUCCUGGGGGUUGAGAGAGAGAACAGAAGGAAAGAGAGAAAGCUCAACGUCAGAGUUAGCCGUAGCCCUUAAGGUUCCCCUAUUUUGUGUUUGUGGUUUUGGACUAGCUGAGGUACACAGAGAAUCCUCUUCUUCUCAUCCACACCCCUCUCUCAUUCUCUCUUUCUGAUAAUGAGUUUAAACUUUUAAACAACAGGGUCUAUAUUUUUGUUCAUAUUUGUGUGGCUUUCCUUGGAUUUUAUAUAUUUAUUUAUUUCCUAGGUAAUAUAUAUUAUC
rnacentral:lncRNA from 1 species